AAAAGGACUUCCAGGCAGCAGAGAGGGCCCAUUUGAGAUUAGCUAGAGUUAGAUGUGGAAGGAGAAAGAGACAGAGAAACAAAGAAAGAUGCACAAAAAUCCCUUUGAUUUGGCUUGAAUACUAAGGCCAUGUGGAUGUUGCAUUAAUUUUGAAUGGAGAUGACAACAUGCUCUGGGAAGCCCAGUGACAGAAUUGGGAUCAUGGAGAAGUCAGUGAGUCUAGGUAGAUUCUGGUGGCUCAAGGUACCACAGACCUUUGAGCUGGCAGGAGAAGACCUCAACUCUUAUACUACUGAAAGCCACUACUGACUGCCUUGGUUAGAUUCAAUGGCUUUGAAAUCUGUGAUGGAGAGGCCAGAAAGUUAAGGCUCAAACCGAAUGUGAGUGUCUGGCCAGUGGUGGAUCCCAGGUUGGGUGAAUGAACAAGAGAAACCAAGAGGUUUGCUUACUCAGAAAACAGAGCAAGAUGAGAUGACUACAGGCCAUGUAGAUAGUAACCAGAAGCCUCCCAGAAGUUGUUGGAGCCAAACUUUGGGCCAAAUGGUCAGAUAAAUGGUAGUAGUCUCUCGGUAACUGAGAAUGAUGUCUUUGUGCAUUUUCAUAGAUGAGUGUGCACAAAGAUACUUGUGCAUGAAGGAGAUUUAAGUGGAAGAGUCGAUGCACAGAGACAGUCCCACUCUCUCGGCGUUGGAAGCCUGGGUCCAGUGGCAUGAAAAGUCGUUACACCUGGAGACUUCCUCAGCUGCAUUGGAUGGCCAAGUUGUCUUUUGUGCUCCAACAUGCCCUAAGCACUCCACAGUGCUUUGCUGCGUCGCCCUCUCAGCCGUUGAACCUUCUUAUUGGUUUCUUCCAUCUGUUCAGCUGAAGCAGUCUUCAUAUGCUGGGAAGAGGAAUGAGAGGCUAAAGCCUGCCUGGCUACACUCAGGGGGCUGAAAUCCUGUUGGAGGGCAGGAGGGUUCUGCCUCUGCAGGGAGGUUCCUCAGAGCAAUGGAACAGUACAUCCAGUACUCCAACCUUGAUGGAAACUCUCCGAUUUAAUUCUUGGUGAUGUUUAUCAGGCACCCCCACAGGCCUGGAGUAGACCAUUGCUGGCAUGUUGCUGCCUGGUGACAAGCCACUAUGGAAAUUGGAUGAGGCCUCCUGGGGACCCUACUGCAUAAAUAUUUUAAGAUACAACAAAAGGAACAAUGCAAUUAAUGUGGGAUUGAUUGACAGCGAUUGAGGGUUGACAGCAAAACACUGAUUGUGAAGGGGAGGAGAGAUAUAGACAGGCAGGGGAGAUGUCUACAAAGAGACUGAGAUCUAUUAGACAUGUAAUGGGGGAACCUAGAGAGGCAGAAGUUCUAGGCAAGGAAUUCUGAGGUAGAGAAGGGAUCCCUACAAGACUUUUCAUGAACUGAAGCAGUAGAGUUAGUGGAAGAUUCAACAGAGCACAUCUGGAGCUUUCCAAGGUUGGCAACUUGUCAGUGCCAGUGCCAGACCAGAGUACCGUUUAAUGCCACCCCCUCCCUUUCUGUCCUCAAGCAGGACACUUGGCCUCUUUCUAGCAGGAAUGCCUUGAGCCUUGGUCUGUACAUGGUAGCCAUGGCAGGUUCUGGUUUUACCUCUGCAAGAUGGGCCUUUCCAUUGUUUCUGCUGAGAUGCCCAUAAUGGGC
rnacentral:lncRNA from 1 species